rnacentral:rRNA from 1 species
GAUGAACGCUGGCGGCGUGCUUAACACAUGCAAGUCGAACGAUGAAGCCCAGCUUGCUGGGUGUAUUAGUGGCGAACGGGUGAGUAACACGUGAGUAACCUGCCCUUAACUCUGGGAUAAGCCUGGGAUACUGGGUCUAAUACCGGAUAGGAGCGUCCACCGCAUGGUGGGUGUUGGAAAGAUUUAUCGGGUUUGGAUGGACUCGCGGCAUAUCAGCUUGUUGGUGGGGUAAUGGCUCACCAAGGCGGCGACGGGUAGCCGGCCGGAGAGGGUGAGCGGCCGCGGUGGGACAGAGGGAGGGACGGGACUAGUAGGGGAGGAGUCAGGGGGGAGUAGGGCGGAAGGGGCGGGAGCUGGAUGCAGCAAGGACGAGGGAGGGAUGACGGCCUUCGGGUUGGAAACAGCUUGCGCCGGUGACGAAGGGGGAGUGAAGGUAGUGGGUAAAGAAGAAACGGCUAACUACGUG